rnacentral:rRNA from 1 species
AGUGAACGCUGGCGGUAGGCCUAACACAUGCAAGUCGAACGGCAGCACAGUAAGAGCUUGCUCUUACGGGUGGCGAGUGGCGGACGGGUGAGGAAUACAUCGGAAUCUACUUUUUCGUGGGGGAUAACGUAGGGAAACUUACGCUAAUACCGCAUACGACCUACGGGUGAAAGCAGUGGAUCUUCGCACCUUGCGCGAUUGAAUGAGCCGAUGUCGGAUUAGCUAGUUGGCGGGGCAAAGGCCCACCAGGGCGACGAUCCGUAGCUGGUCUGAGAGGAUGAUCAGCCACACUGGAACUGAGACACGGUCCAGACUCCUACGGGAGGCAGCAGUGGGGAAUAUUGGACAAUGGGCGCAAGCCUGAUCCAGCCAUACCGCGUGGGUGAAGAAGGCCUUCGGGUUGUAAAGCCCUUUUGUUGGGAAAGAAAAGCAGCAGGUUAAUACCCCGCUGUUCUGACGGUACCCAAAGAAUAAGCACCGGCUAACUUCGUG